GCAGCCGCGGUAAUACGUAGGGGGCGAGCGUUAUCCGGAUUUAUUGGGCGUAAAGCGUGUGUAGGCGGUUUGUUAAGUCUGAGAUGAAAGGCUGUGGCUUAACCACAGUUUGUUUCAGAUACUGGCAGACUAGAGUGCAGUAGAGGCAAUUGGAAUUCAUAGUGUAGCGGUGGAAUGCGUAGAUAUUAUGAGGAACAUCAGUGGCGAAGGCGAAUUGCUGGGCUGUUACUGACGCUGAGACACGAAAGCGUGGGGAGCAAAUAGGAUUAGAUACCCC
rnacentral:rRNA from 1 species